rnacentral:rRNA from 1 species
UACGAAGGGGGGCUAGCGUUGCUCGGAAUCACUGGGCGUAAAGCGCACGUAGGCGGAUCUUUAAGUCAGAGGUGAAAUCCCAAGGCUCAACCUUGGAACUGCCUUUGAUACUGGGGAUCUCGAGUCCGGAAGAGGUGAGUGGAACUGCGAGUGUAGAGGUGAAAUUCGUAGAUAUUCGCAAGAACACCAGUGGCGAAGGCGGCUCACUGGUCCGGUACUGACGCUGAGGUGCGAAAGCGUGGGGAGCAAACAGGG